rnacentral:rRNA from 1 species
UACGUAGGGUGCGAGCGUUGUCCGGAAUUAUUGGGCGUAAAGAGCUCGUAGGCGGUGUGUCGCGUCGGCCGUGAAAACCUGGGGCUCAACUCUGGGCGUGCGGUCGAUACGGGCAUCACUGGAGUUCGGGCAGGGGAGACUGGAAUUCCUGGUGUAGCGGUGAAAUGCGCAGAUAUCAGGAGGAACACCGGUGGCGAAGGCGGGUCUCUGGGCCGAUACUGACGCUGGAGGAAGCGAAAGCAUUGGGUAGCGAACAGG